AUCACGUUGGGUAUGUAGAGAAGCCAACCAAUCACGUUGGGUAUGUAUCUGAUGUGUUGUAUCGGCUAAGGCCAUAUUCGUUUGAUCCCAAAACCAUAGCGAUUGGAGAGGAUUUUGACUUGUAGGGGAUUUAAUCCCCCGCAAUCCCAAUGGAUUGACACAAAACUAACAGGGUCUAAGUGUGAAAUUUGCCAAGAGUGUACUGUUGGCUGAGGAACGUCUCUGGCUCGAUGUUCGACAAGAAGAAACAUCUUCGUCUCUGCGUUGGAGAGAUUGCAGCCGUCUCCUCCAGAUCCGUUGUUCCCCGUCUUGGAUCCGUGCUUAAGUCAUCUGCUCCAGGCCGCACGCUGUCCAUCGCAGAGGGAGAUUCUGCUGCUGGGUGCACACCGUCCAUUCGACCAGGGAUCUUCACCCACCGGUGAACACCGCUCAUUCUUCAACAUCUCCGGCGACCAUGGGGUCGGCGGCGCUGGUGUGCGCAGCCCCUUCGUGGCCCCAGGGCGUUGGUUUCAUAUGUGUAUGGUUAAUUUAUGUGACCUGUUCUGCAGCAAGCUGGGGUUUAGUAAAGUGCAUGUUUCAGUUUCAAGUUUCAGUUAUAGCAAUCUUCAGUUAUAGCAGUAUCUGAAAUUUUAUCUAUUCUGUAUCUAAAAUUUUAUCCAGUUCUAUAUCUAAAUGCAAGUUUCAGUUAUAGCAAUUUGAAAUGACGACCAGUGCGUUUCUAUA